CUUUCCCUCUUUCUUUAGGCCUAACACAUGCAAGUCGAACGGCAGCACAGUAAGAGCUUGCUCUUACGGGUGGCGAGUGGCGGACGGGUGAGGAAUACAUCGGAAUCUACUUUUUCGUGGGGGAUAACGUAGGGAAACUUACGCUAAUACCGCAUACGACCUACGGGUGAAAGCAGGGGAUCUUCGGACCUUGCGCGAUUGAAUGAGCCGAUGUCGGAUUAGCUAGUUGGCGGGGUAAAGGCCCACCAAGGCGACGAUCCGUAGCUGGUCUGAGAGGAUGAUCAGCCACACUGGAACUGAGACACGGUCCAGACUCCUACGGGAGGCAGCAGUGGGGAAUAUUGGACAAUGGGCGCAAGCCUGAUCCAGCCAUACCGCGUGGGUGAAGAAGGCCUUCGGGUUGUAAAGCCCUUUUGUUGGGAAAGAAAAGCAGCAGGUUAAUACCCCGCUGUUCUGACGUUACCCAAAGAAUAAGCACCGGCUAACUUCGUG
rnacentral:rRNA from 1 species